UAUGCUGAAAGCCAUCUUAAAUAAGCAUACCAAGUAAAACCAGUAUGCUUACUAUGGCCUGCAGCUUCACAACAGAUUUUUUGGCUGUUCAUUUCCACUCAGAUGGCUGCUCCUCUGCAGACGGAUGCAAAUUCUGAAACUUGAACAGGCAGUACACACGCGGGAUGAGAUGGAUUCGUUGCGUGAGCAGUGAGAAAUUAGCAGCUUAGGUUGCAAUGUGCUGGUUUCGUCUCAACGAGAGGAAACAUGAGACCUGAAUUUCCACGAGGGGAGACUCAGUGAAGCUAGAAUGCAGGCCCCAAAAAUGGUGGACCAGGGGAACCAACAAGCAAGUCAAAUGAAGACAGGCUGUCACAGUGUGAAUCACCUCCUGUUGUGUGGAACCAGGUACUCUGACAAUAUCCACUGUGACAUGGGAAGGACAGACAUCAUCGAUGGUAUCAUCAAUGUACAGAGAUUACUGCCCUACUAAAGCAAUGGACAACAACACUUGCAUCUUAAAGACAAGUAGGAAUUAUCUGGGGUAAAGGUAUCAGAGGAAGGAGCCGGAAAAUGGAUAACAGGCAGAGGAAACAGCACAUUUGAAAGCCCAAGGCACUGCUCUGAGGUUUUUGAGGUGAACAUGUAGCUCUUUGGUUUUUAAUUUUUCUCUUCCUUCAUAUAUGUUUUUAAGGUAAUACAUUUUCCUUCAAGGAGAGCUUUUACUCUGUUACACAUCUGGGGUUUUGGGUCAGUUCUUUCUGUUUUUCUUUUUUUGUUUAUUUUUGAGCGAGAAAGAGAGACAGAGUGUGAGUGGGAGAGAAGAGA